GAUUUAUCCCCUAUUUUCAUUUGUGGCAGAUGCGACAAAUGGGGUCAAACACCCCCGGUAAGGUAUAAUUUCUUAGUUAAAUUAUUAGAUACUUGCCCUAGCGCUUAAAGACACAUAUACCUCCCGAAAAUUCUCAGACCGGAGGUGUCUUUUCCGGAUGAGGGAUGUGUCGGAUGGCAGCAGGGCUUUGGAGAAUACCUUUGCUGCCA
rfam:Polynucleobacter sp. MWH-CaK5 chromosome, complete genome